AUGCCAGGUAAGCAGUACGGGGCCCCGCAGCCCAGCGGGGAGAGGCACCCAGCGGUGGCCCCAGCUGACAGCGAGUGGACGAGGUCAAGGCAGAUCCCGCCGGCCGCCCCCAACUGCCUCCACGCCGAAGUCGUCGCCCGCCCCUCCCCCCUGAAACAAAAUCUCUUCCAGAAUCGGAGGGGAAAGCAUCUGCGAGUUUCGCCCUCGCGCGGGCGGCCGGCGGCGGCGGAGAUGGGCUGCUGUAGCAGCCGGAGCUCGGACUCGCCGGCCAGCCGCGUCACGCGCUGGCGCUCCACCGGGAUCGUCGCCCUCCGGGACGCCAAACUGAAGGUGGUACCACAGGAAGUUCUGCAAGUGGGAAAUUCCCUUAGAACUCUGGAUUUGACAAAUAACAAGAUAGUUGAGGUUCCCCAGGAAGUUGGUACCAUUGUGAAUAUGCAAAGACUGGUUUUGGCUGGUAAUUUGAUUGAAAACAUUCCAGCUAAUAUUGGAUACCUGCGGAACCUUAAAAUCCUCACGCUUGACAGAAAUAGGAUCACUGUCUUGCCUGAAGAAUUGGGUUCUCUAUCAAAUCUUCAGCAGCUUACAGUUUCUCAGAAUUCUUUGCUGUGCCUACCUAAAAGUGUUGGAGAUUUGUGCAAUAUGCUGCUACUCAAUGUAUCUGAUAACAAACUAAAUGCCCUUCCCGAAUCAAUAGGAGGCUGCAAGUCCCUCGAAGAAUUGCAGGCUAAUGGAAAUACAAUCGAAGAUGUGCCCUCAUCAAUUUGCAACCUUGCUUGCCUCAAAUCUAUAUCAUUGAAUGGAAACAAAAUUCGUCAGCUUCCCCCAAACUUGCUGAAGGAUUGCAAGGCUCUUCAGAACUUGUCACUGCACAGCAACCCAAUCUCGAUGGACCAGUUUCAGCAAAUGGAUGGAUUCGGGGAAUUUGAAGCGCGCAGAAGGAAGAAGUUUGACAAGCAGAUUGAUUCAAAUGUGAUGAUGGGCUCCACAGCCCUGGACGAAGGCAUUGAUUUACGCUAGUUUUGCGGCAAAAUUCAAGUGAACUUGUUUUUUCUUCAUUAGUUGGAAGUAACUGUAAACUUUGUAUAUAUCAGUCUCCCCACAAUCUGAUUCGGUAAAGAAAUCAAUAAAUACAAAACAUACAAAAAUGAGUAGACUGUCUCUUUCAUGUGAAUCUACAGUCGUUGACUAUCAGCAUAUUAUGUACUCUCAUGUCUAAGCCUACACCAUCUUAUUAUGCUACUUUCGGUGGCAGCAAAGAUUUGUCUGCUUGAAAAUGAGCAGAGAGGGCUUUGCAAAGCUCCCCUCUCAAGUCUCAAGUAGCAGUUACAAGUGAGAAGCCAAGAAUUAAACUAUCGUCCAGCAGUCGUGUUAAUUUGGAGCUCACAAUACAUAGGCAGCCCACCACCGGAGCUCGACACGUAAGGGCAAAAGACUGGUGCCGUCUUUCUAAACACGUGAAUAAAGCAGGAGGAAUCUGUUGUUACAUCGUUGCUUUUUCCCUAGCUAUAUGAUCGAUUCACAUCUGAUAAGAGAGGGCAGAGGCAAGGAGGAGGAGGAAGAAGAAGAAGAAGAAGCAGAGGGUUUUGCUACGACUACGAUGGAAGAGGAGAAGGCCUUUCCCAGUGACUCGUCAGGUUUCGAGUUCUUCAUCAUCAUGCUCUCAAAUUCCUUGAAGAAACUGAGGAUGCCAGACAAGUUCGCCAAGGUGCUCGCCGGCCGCGAGCCCCGGGAAGUGAAGCUGCGGGAGGCCGGCAGCGGGCGCCGCAGCCUGUGGGACGUGAAGGUGGUGCUGGACGCCGACGGCCACACAUACCUAGGGCGCGGCUGGGAGCGGUUCGCCCGCGCGCACGACCUGCGGCUCGGCUACUUCCUCGUCUUCAGCUACGACGGCGACGCCGUGCUCACCGUGAAGGUGUUCGACGUGAGCAUGUGCCGCAGGCACUACAAGCACCACGACGACGAUGAUGCCAGCAGUGGGAGCAGCAGCGACAGUGGCGGCAGCAGCUCGGCGGAGGUGGAGGUCGACGACGCUCCGACGUCGCAGUUCACGGUCAGGCUGAGCGGCUGCCACUUCCUCGAGAAGCAGCAGCAGUAUCUGAACGUGCCGCUGGAGUUCCAUGAGGCGCACGGGUACGCGGAGAGGAGCAAGGUGGUGCUGCGGAUGAGCGGCAAGUCGUGGGGCGUGACCCUGAAGCACACCAACCGGGCGGGCGGCAAGACCCGGUCGUCCUUCAGGUACGGGUGGCACCAGUUCCUGGUGGACAACCGCCUCACCGUCGGCGACACCUGCUUCUUCCGCGCGCUCCGCGCUGGCGGCGAGGACCACGAGCUCAAGGUGCAGGUCCGCAAGCUGGACGGCACCUUCGUGGAAUGAUCAGCCGGCCGUGUUGGCGUGCUCAUCACCGGCAUGCAUGGCACAAUGAUCAGGACAAUGGAGUUCUUUUACUUUUUCUAGUAGUUGUUUGAAGCUUUCGGAUCGUCUUGGUAUGUUCUGAAACCUGGAUCAGUGCCUUCUGAUGCUAGUAGCAGCAGAGUAACUAGUUAGAGAAUAAACCGCCUGACUCUGUGCC
rnacentral:rRNA from 1 species